UAUAGGGAAGCCGAAAACUAAAAAGAGUAGGCG
rnacentral:ncRNA from 1 species